rnacentral:lncRNA from 1 species
UUGUUCUGGUUCUUCUCUGGGAGAUUCUGCAUUGUUUUGCCAUUCACUUUCUGAAGAAAAUCUCUAUGGCACAUCCUGGCUCUUCUAAGGGCCGGCUUAAUACGGGAAGCCAAGUUUGCUUUGUUCAUCUGCAGCAGAGUUAAGAUUCUAUACAAUAAAUAUUCCCACAAUACCAAUAAUAACUUGCAUUAGAAAACUUCAUGUAGUGAUCUUUCCCUCAAGCACAUAGAAACAUACCCUUAGAACAUGACUGAUCUCGAAGGAGAUCAUACAUUUGUUGGUCAUGAGUUGUUUUGCUUGGAAAAGACAAAGGCAAAAGAGAGCCAAACAUACCCUCACUCUUAAGUAUGAGUUCUUCAUCCCAAAAAAAGAGAGAUAUUCUUCGGCGUACGUCCUUAGGCAAUGAGGAACCUUUAUAAAACUUAACAGUUUCUUCUUCUGUGCGUGUUCCCAAAGAAAGAAUAGACAUAACAAAAGAGAUUGUUAAGGCAAAAAAGUUGUAUUCACCUGAUGACCCAACUUGAGCCUGACACUCACUAAGAUCCCUUUAUAAAUUCCAAUAACAUCACCCUUACGGCAACAAAGAAGGCGUAUUUCUCUUUAUCAGCAACAGGAACAACGGUUGACAUAUAUUUGAUUU